rnacentral:rRNA from 1 species
AUACUUAGGGUGCAAGCGUUAAUCGGAAUUACUGGGCGUAAAGCGCUCGUAGGCGGCUUGUAAAGUCGGAUGUGAAAUCCCCGGGCUCAACCUGGGAACUGCAUUCGAUACUGGCAGGCUAGGGUAUAGUAGAGGCAAGUGGAAUUUCGGGUGUAGCGGUGAAAUGCGUAGAUAUCUGAAGGAACAUCAGUGGCGAAGGCGACUUGCUGGACUAAUACUGACGCUCAGGAGCGAAAGCGUGGGGAGCAAACAGGAUUAGAAACCCCGGUAGUCC